rnacentral:rRNA from 1 species
UACGGAGGAUGCGAGCGUUAUCCGGAUUUAUUGGGUUUAAAGGGUGCGUAGGCGGACGCUUAAGUCAGCGGUAAAAUUGCGGGGCUCAACCUCGUCGAGCCGUUGAAACUGGGUGCCUUGAGUGGGCGAGAAGUACGCGGAAUGCGCGGUGUAGCGGUGAAAUGCAUAGAUAUAGCGCAGAACUCCGAUUGCGAAGGCAGCGUACCGGCGCCGGACUGACGCUGAGGCACGAAAGCGUGGGUAUCGAACAGG